GACGAACGCUGGCGGCGUGCUUAACACAUGCAAGUCGAACGAAGAGCGAUGGAAGCUUGCUUCUAUCAAUCUUAGUGGCGAACGGGUGAGUAACGCGUAAUCAACCUGCCCUUCAGAGGGGGACAACAGUUGGAAACGACUGCUAAUACCGCAUACGAUCUGACCUCGGCAUCGAGGAUAGAUGAAAGGUGGCCUCUAUUUAUAAGCUAUCACUGAAGGAGGGGAUUGCGUCUGAUUAGCUAGUUGGAGGGGUAACGGCCCACCAAGGCGAUGAUCAGUAGCCGGUCUGAGAGGAUGAACGGCCACAUUGGGACUGAGACACGGCCCAGACUCCUACGGGAGGCAGCAGUGGGGAAUCUUCCGCAAUGGACGAAAGUCUGACGGAGCAACGCCGCGUGAGUGAUGACGGCCUUCGGGUUGUAAAGCUCUGUUAAUCGGGACGAAAGGCCUUCUUGCGAAUAGUUAGAAGGAUUGACGGUACCG
rnacentral:rRNA from 1 species